rnacentral:rRNA from 1 species
CGGACGGGUGAGUAACGCGUGAGUACAUAUCCAUCGGAGGGGGACAACCCGCCGAAAGGCGGGCUAAUACCGCGUAAGCCGAAAGGUGAAGGGCCAUGCAAAUGGCUGCCGAUGGGGUGGUUCGCGACCUAUCAGCUAGUUGGUGGGGUAAGGGCCUACCAAGGCGAAGACGGGUAGCCGGUCUGAGAGGGCGAUCGGCCACACUGGAACUGAGAUACGGUCCAGACUCCUACGGGAGGCAGCAGUGGGGAAUAUUGGGCAAUGGGGGAAACCCUGACCCAGCGACGCCGCGUGAGGGAAGAAGGUUUUCGGAUCGUAAACCUCUGUUGUACGGGAAGAAGGAAGUGACGGUACCGUACGAGGAAGCCCCGGCAAACUACGUGCCAGCAGCCGCGGUAAUACGUAGGGGGCGAGCGUUGUCCGGAAUUACUGGGCGUAAAGGGUGCGCAGGCUGUUUUGCGAGUCUGCUGUGAAAUACAUCGGCUCAACCGGUGAAUUGCGGCGGAUACUGCGAGACUGGAGUACUGGAGAGGGAAGUGGAAUUCCCGGUGUAGCGGUGAAAUGCGUAGAUAUCAGGAGGAACACCAGUGGCGAAGGCGGCUUUCUGGGCCACGACUGACACUGAGGCGCGAAAGCUAGGGGAGCGAAC